rnacentral:tRNA from 12 species
UCUUGGCCGGACUUCAAACCCGUUGUGCCCCCACUG